CAAAAAAUAUUCCUGUCAGUCACCAGUUACAAUUAAAACAGAUUGUUCCAGUGAAGAAUCUCAAGCCAGCUGUGAUUAAAGUGUAUGAUUAUUACCAAACAAGUGAUCUGUCAGAGACUGAGUAUUCAUCCCACUGUGAGUGAAGUGUCAUGCCUCAGUUCUGCAGCUCGGAUAAAUAGAUUUGAAUGCUGACUAAAUGUUUUUAUUCAGUGUUUAUUCCUUUUUCUGGGCAAAUUAGUUUCCUGAUUAGCCUUUGUUUUAUUAAACCCAAACAACCUGAAAA